ACCGUCAACCAUGAGAUCAACCGUCAUAAGGCUACAGCCACUGCCAGCCAUGUCCUGCCUCUAAAACAAAAAAUACUGUUUUUUACCAUUUUAACGUACAGGCCGAGAGCACACUUGCUGCUCUUUUAUUGUUUUUUUAUACUACUUCAAUUUUUCUAACAGAUAAAAGCGUCGUUAUUUAUUUAUUUUUGUUUUUUUAAUAAGAAGCGGUGAACAUGUCUUCCCCCGCGCAGGAGAAGAGGAGCCCUGGCGUUCAGCUGCUGCUGAGCGCGGCGCUGCCGCUGCUGCUCCUCUCGCUCUCCGGUUGUUCAAGCAUGGAUGUGCUCGUGACCAGUUCCAUUAAUGCACUGAAUGGAACAACUGUCAAAAUCUCCUGCUUAUUUACUUCCUGCUAUAAGAUGGACCCUACGAAGUUUGCCAUGAACUGGACUUACCAAGAAUCACUUAACGAUACAGAAGAGAUGUUUAUGACAUACUCCAAGAAAAAAGGAAUGGUGCCUCUGCGUUCAGACCGGUUUGGAGAGAGGGUCAUGUUUGCCGGGAACCUGGAUAAGAAUGACUUGUCAAUCACCCUAUCAGAUGUACAGUUGGAGGAUGAGGGGGUUUACAACUGCUAUGUGAGAAACCCCCCAGACCGCAUUCAGGGACAUGGUUUCAUACAGCUCAAUGUUGUUACUGAACUUCCACCUCCCAGGGAUUCAACCAUUGCAGUUGCGAUUGGGGCAUCAGUGGGCGGAGCAUUAGCUCUGCUGAUCCUUUCCAUGGUAGUAGUGAAAUGUCUUCGUCGACACCGGAAACAGGAACUGAUUUCAGAGGAGAAGAUGGAGGAGGAGGGAAAGCUGGAGGCUGAAGGUGUUGCAGAGGAAGGAACCAAACAACCAUAGCUGGGUCAUCUGAUUGAAACCACCGGCCUGUGAAGCCCUGACCCUCAACACCUCCUCUGAAAUGUGCAUCCCCUACCUGAAGACCUAUAGUUACCACUGCUUGAAUCAUCAUCCAAUGAUACUUCCAUCCCUUCGAUGUAUGUGUGUGUGUGUGUGUGUGUGUGUGUGUGUGUGUGUGCGUGUGCGUGUGUGUGCGUGCCAGUGCUUUGUGUGGGUGUACUGAAUGUGUCUUUGUGUGCGUGCAUAUUUCUAUUUGUCUGCGUGAGAUAUGUCUUUUUCCUUGAAAUAAGCCAGGCAACACUUUUCUGCAGCCAACCCACUAAACACAUUACAUUAUUCAUAGUUACAAGUUAAUAUCAGUGGCAUUAGAAGUCCAUCUCAUAAUAAGGAAUGGCAUUUUCAUAGAAAAUAAUACGAUAGGCUAGGGCUGGGCGGUAUGACCUAAAAUUUAUACCACAGUAUAGUUUGAAUAUGGAACAGUAACAAUUUCACGGCAUCAUAAUGUGAAAUUUUACAACCCUGAAGUUAAUCUAUUAAAUAAUUAUUAAUGACGUUAACAGUAGUUGUGGAGUUAGAACUUCAUACUGAGUUAAAAGCUGAUUACACUGCAGAGAAGAAGGUUGCUUGUAUAUUGACUGCGUGAUGGUUGUUUGCUCCACUGUCUCACAACUUGCGCAGUCCAACUUUGGGAUUUAGUUUCAGGUGAAUCUUUCGGUUUAACAUACUGUGAAUCCAGCUUUUUUCAACAUUGCCUUAAAGCCAUGUCUCUCAGCUGCCUGUAGGGGCAGCAUGUCUUAACAUAGAUGCACAGUUAGUGCAUGUGUGGUGUUCUUCCACUGCUGGCUUUUCUUAGAAGAAAGACAACUGCUAGUCAGUGAUUCUGCCAAAUUAACACUGUACGUCUCAAAGGUCUUCUUGUGUCGCAGCGUUUCCAAACAUUCCUCAUAACCGUGUUUUCUUAAAGACUUUUUUCUUGGCUUGUCAUAGUAGGAAAAGCACCGGUGUUUCUAAUCACAUUAACGAUGGAUCUGUUCUAUCAAAGUUUCCCAGUAAGUCAUUACAGUAGCUAUGUCUAAAAAUUACUCCUCAUCUAUGUAGUGCAGUAUAUUGCAGUGUAACAUUUAUUGUAUAUUGCCCACAAAAGUUGUGUCGAUACACUACUUUUGAAUACACAAAAUGAUGGUGAUCAAUAAGAACAAUGAACUAUUGAAUGUCUAUUAUAUCAGGAUUUAUGAAUGAAUGAAUGAGGAAGUGAUUUUAGACAGAGCCAGGAACAGUGAGCCAGCAUGCACAAUAAACCCUAAAGCUGAAGCAUCUAAAUGGAAUUCAGCCAUCAUUUAUCUUAUUAUUCACACCUGUGCUUUUCCUACUGUGACAUAUCAUUUGCGCAAAAGGCAUAUGGGGCAACAUAUUUCCAAAAAUAUCCUUAUGUUUGGUCCUAUGUCUGUCUUCUGCCUGAUGUUUUUGUUAGCAGGCAAAUGUGCCUAAAUGAACAACUGCAUUUGUUAAUAGGCUUUACAGUUCAAAUUAAUUCCGUACUAAUCUUCCGCCAAAUCUUUAUAAAUCUUACUGAUUAUUUACUGGUUAUACCGUCCACCCCUAUGACAGAAACUUCUGCACCCUGGCCAUGAGGAAUGAUAUAUUAGUGUGCCUCAAUACAGAGGUUCUAGUAGCAGGUACAGAUCUCUGUUCAGUUACAGUAUUUAUGAGGUUAAAGUAAGUCUUAAUUUAAUAUUAGACCCUACAAUACUUACACUGCAUAAUACAAUUAUGAGUACAUGCUGCAUAGGAAAAUCUGUCAGUGACAGCGUUGAGGUUUCCUCUCAGGAUUCUGCUCUACAAUAUAAAUAAAGCUAGCACUGGAUGAGGAGUAUGCGGUAUAGACGAUUUUGUCAAAGUUGAAAACAUAUCAAAGACAAUUUAAAGUGAAAAACUCACACUGCACCCACAAUCACAUAAUCAAUGUUGGUGCCAAUGGUUCUUUAUAUUUGUGGUAUAAUGGUUGCCCAAACAAAAGACUACAUGCAGAUGCUGUUUUAUAGUAACUCUUACCAUGACCCAACAUCACACACACAGAAAGUUGCGUCUCAUUUACAGACAGUGAUACAGGAAGUAAUACCAAAUGAAAAAAAAAAA